AGGCGUGUGACUGCGUACCUUUUGUAUAAUGGGUCAGCGACUUAUAUUCUGUAGCAAGGUUAACCGAAUAGGGGAGCCGAAGGGAAACCGAGUCUUAACUGGGCGUUAAGUUGCAGGGUAUAGACCCGAAACCCGGUGAUCUAGCCAUGGGCAGGUUGAAGGUUGGGUAACACUAACUGGAGGACCGAACCGACUAAUGUUGAAAAAUUAGCGGAUGACUUGUGGCUGGGGGUGAAAGGCCAAUCAAACCGGGAGAUAGCUGGUUCUCCCCGAAAGCUAUUUAGGUAGCGCCUCGUGAAUUCAUCUCCGGGGGUAGAGCACUGUUUCGGCAAGGGGGUCAUCCCGACUUACCAACCCGAUGCAAACUGCGAAUACCGGAGAAUGUUAUCACGGGAGACACACGGCGGGUGCUAACGUCCGUCGUGAAGAGGGAAACAACCCAGACCGCCAGCUAAGGUCCCAAAGUCAUGGUUAAGUGGGAAACGAUGUGGGAAGGCCCAGACAGCCAGGAUGUUGGCUUAGAAGCAGCCAUCAUUUAAAGAAAGCGUAAUAGCUCACUGGUCGAGUCGGCCUGCGCGGAAGAUGUAACGGGGCUAAACCAUGCACCGAAGCUGCGGCAGCGACGCUUAUGCGUUGUUGGGUAGGGGAGCGUUCUGUAAGCCUGUGAAGGUGUGCUGUGAGGCAUGCUGGAGGUAUCAGAAGUGCGAAUGCUGACAUAAGUAACGAUAAAGCGGGUGAAAAGCCCGCUCGCCGGAAGACCAAGGGUUCCUGUCCAACGUUAAUCGGGGCAGGGUGAGUCGACCCCUAAGGCGAGGCCGAAAGGCGUAGUCGAUGGGAAACAGGUUAAUAUUCCUGUACUUGGUGUUACUGCGAAGGGGGGACGGAGAAGGCUAUGUUGGCCGGGCGACGGUUGUCCCGGUUUAAGCGUGUAGGCUGGUUUUCCAGGCAAAUCCGGAAAAUCAAGGCUGAGGCGUGAUGACGAGGCACUACGGUGCUGAAGCAACAAAUGCCCUGCUUCCAGGAAAAGCCUCUAAGCAUCAGGUAACAUCAAAUCGUACCCCAAACCGACACAGGUGGUCAGGUAGAGAAUACCAAGGCGCUUGAGAGAACUCGGGUGAAGGAACUAGGCAAAAUGGUGCCGUAACUUCGGGAGAAGGCACGCUGAUAUGUAGGUGAAGUCCCUUGCGGAUGGAGCUGAAAUCAGUCGAAGAUACCAGCUGGCUGCAACUGUUUAUUAAAAACACAGCACUGUGCAAACACGAAAGUGGACGUAUACGGUGUGACGCCUGCCCGGUGCCGGAAGGUUAAUUGAUGGGGUCAGCGCAAGCGAAGCUCUUGAUCGAAGCCCCGGUAAACGGCGGCCGUAACUAUAACGGUCCUAAGGUAGCGAAAUUCCUUGUCGGGUAAGUUCCGACCUGCACGAAUGGCGUAAUGAUGGCCAGGCUGUCUCCACCCGAGACUCAGUGAAAUUGAACUCGCUGUGAAGAUGCAGUGUACCCGCGGCAAGACGGAAAGACCCCGUGAACCUUUACUAUAGCUUGACACUGAACAUUGAGCCUUGAUGUGUAGGAUAGGUGGGAGGCUUUGAAGUGUGGACGCCAGUCUGCAUGGAGCCGACCUUGAAAUACCACCCUUUAAUGUUUGAUGUUCUAACGUGGACCCGUGAUCCGGGUUGCGGACAGUGUCUGGUGGGUAGUUUGACUGGGGCGGUCUCCUCCUAAAGAGUAACGGAGGAGCACGAAGGUUGGCUAAUCCUGGUCGGACAUCAGGAGGUUAGUGCAAUGGCAUAAGCCAGCUUGACUGCGAGCGUGACGGCGCGAGCAGGUGCGAAAGCAGGUCAUAGUGAUCCGGUGGUUCUGAAUGGAAGGGCCAUCGCUCAACGGAUAAAAGGUACUCCGGGGAUAACAGGCUGAUACCGCCCAAGAGUUCAUAUCGACGGCGGUGUUUGGCACCUCGAUGUCGGCUCAUCACAUCCUGGGGCUGAAGUAGGUCCCAAGGGUAUGGCUGUUCGCCAUUUAAAGUGGUACGCGAGCUGGGUUUAGAACGUCGUGAGACAGUUCGGUCCCUAUCUGCCGUGGGCGCUGGAGAACUGAGGGGGGCUGCUCCUAGUACGAGAGGACCGGAGUGGACGCAUCACUGGUGUUCGGGUUGUCAUGCCAAUGGCACUGCCCGGUAGCUAAAUGCGGAAGAGAUAAGUGCUGAAAGCAUCUAAGCACGAAACUUGCCCCGAGAUGAGUUCU
rnacentral:rRNA from 1 species